rnacentral:rRNA from 1 species
GAUGAACGCUGGCGGCGUGCCUAAUACAUGCAAGUCGAGCGAACGGACGAGAAGCUUGCUUCUCUGAUGUUAGCGGCGGACGGGUGAGUAACACGUGGAUAACCUACCUAUAAGACUGGGAUAACUUCGGGAAAACGGAGCUAAUACCGGAUGAUAUUUUGAACCGCAUGGUUCAAAAGUGAAAGACGGUCUUGCUGUCACUUAUAGAAGGAUCCGCGCUGCAUUAGCUAGUUGGUAAGGUAACGGCUUACCAAGGCAACGAUGCAUAGCCGACCUGAGAGGGUGAUCGGCCACACUGGAACUGAGACACGGUCCAGACUCCUACGGGAGGCAGCAGUAGGGAAUCUUCCGCAAUGGGCGAAAGCCUGACGGAGCCACGCCGCGUGAGUGAUGAAGGUCUUCGGAUCGUAAAACUCUGUUAUUAGGGAAGAACAUAUGUGUAAGUAACUGUGCGCAUCUUGACGGUACCUAAUCAGAAAGCCACGGCUAACUACGUG